rnacentral:rRNA from 1 species
CGGCUGCUAAUACCGGAUGAUGACGAAAGUCCAAAGAUUUAUCGCCAGAGGAUGAGCCCGCGUUGGAUUAGGUAGUUGGUGGGGUAAAGGCCUACCAAGCCGACGAUCCAUAGCUGGUCUGAGAGGAUGAUCAGCCACACUGGGACUGAGACACGGCCCAGACUCCUACGGGAGGCAGCAGUGGGGAAUAUUGGACAAUGGGCGAAAGCCUGAUCCAGCAAUGCCGCGUGAGUGAUGAAGGCCCUAGGGUUGUAAAGCUCUUUUACCCGGGAAGAUAAUGACUGUACCGGGAGAAUAAGCCCCGGCUAACUCCGUGCCAGCAGCCGCGGUAAUACGGAGGGGGCUAGCGUUGUUCGGAAUUACUGGGCGUAAAGCGCACGUAGGCGGCUUUGUAAGUCAGAGGUGAAAGCCUGGAGCUCAACUCCAGAACUGCCUUUGAGACUGCAUCGCUUGAAUCCAGGAGAGGUCAGUGGAAUUCCGAGUGUAGAGGUGAAAUUCGUAGAUAUUCGGAAGAACACCAGUGGCGAA